GAUGAACGCUGGCGGCGUGCCUAAUACAUGCAAGUCGAGCGAACAGACGAGGAGCUUGCUCCUCUGACAUUAGCGGCGGACGGGUGAGUAACACGUGGAUAACCUACCUAUAAGACUGGGAUAAAUUCGGGAAACCGGAGCUAAUACCGGAUAAUAUAUUGAACCGCAUGGGUCAAUAGUGAAAUACGGUUUUGCUGUCACUUAUAGAUGGAUCCGCGCCGCAUUAGCUAGUUGGUAAGGUAACGGCUUACCAAGGCGACGAUGCGUAGCCGACCUGAGAGGGUGAUCGGCCACACUGGAACUGAGACACGGUCCAGACUCCUACGGGAGGCAGCAGUAGGGAAUCUUCCGCAAUGGGCGAAAGCCUGACGGAGCAACGCCGCGUGAGUGAUGAAGGUCUUCGGAUCGUAAAACUCUGUUAUUAGGGAAGAACAAAUGUGUAAGUAACUAUGCACGUCUUGACGGUACCUAAUCAGAAAGCCACGGCUAACUACGUG
rnacentral:rRNA from 1 species